AUCGGUAGUUUGUACGAAAUGAAUUGCAUGCAGUUUCAGAGGUUUUCAAUGUGGCCACAACAAAUAGAUAGACAGAUACACACACACACACACACUGUCUGAACCGCUUGUCCUGUUCGGUGUUGCAGGGAGCCGGAGCCUAACCCGGCAACACAGGGCGUAAGGCCGGAGGGGGAGGGAGGGGACACACCCAGGACGGGACGCCAGUCCGUCGCAAGGCACCCCAAGCGGGACUCGAACCCCAGACCUGCCAGAGAGCAGAACCCAGCCAAGCCCGCUGCACCACCGCACACCUGCCUGCUGAAAACUAAUACAGUAAAAACUACCCAGCUGUGAAAACAAGUAAAUCAUUAGUACAGGUGAAGCUGAACAGCAUGUCUUUGGAGUGUGGGAGGAAACCAGAGCACCCAGAGGAAACCCACGCAGAGAACAUCCAAACUCCACACAGACUGAGCAGGGGUAAAACCCACAUCCUCUCGCACCACCCAGGUGCUGUGAGACAGCAGCGCUACUCGCUGUGCUACCACGCCAUUUGAGUUGUGCCUAUGGGGUCCAGCAGUCAGCUGAUGUCCCUCAUUUCUGGAGAGGAUAAAGGUGUCAUCUGGGGUCAUCUUCUGGCAGUCACUGCCAUGCCGGACGUGUUCAUUUGAAGUCUAUUUUUGUAAUUUAAGAAAUAUUUUACAGUGCCUGUCCUAGUGCGUUAACUUGGGAGUGCAUGCUGGGAGGCGGGGUACUUCCCUUGUGUCUGAGCAUCUGCACUGCAUCCUAUGGGGGGAGUUCUAGUUAAAAUGAGCACAGCCAGGCAACCAGAUUGGAGACACAAGACAUCACCUAUAUGAGAAAACUACAACAUCUCCAUAUGCUUGUAGAAGAAAGGGAAAAUGUGCCCAUAUUUACUCGCAAAUAUUUGACCUUGUCAGCAAUCACAUCUCAGACCAACCCUGAGAAGUUGUGCAGAGAGGCUUUCCAGACAAGCUGUCAGUCACAUCCUGGUCACGUCCCGGUACAGCCCACCUGUCGCUGCCCACGUGAUACAGCCCACCCACGCCCA
rnacentral:lncRNA from 1 species